GCCGGGAUGGUGGAAUUGGUAGACACAAGGGACUUAAAAUCCCUCGCCUUCGAGGUGUGCGGGUUCGACUCCCGCUCCCGGCA
rnacentral:tRNA from 1 species